GAUGAACGCUGGCGGCGUGCCUAAUACAUGCAAGUCGAGCGAAUGGAUUAAGAGCUUGCUCUUAUGAAGUUAGCGGCGGACGGGUGAGUAACACGUGGGUAACCUGCCCAUAAGACUGGGAUAACUCCGGGAAACCGGGGCUAAUACCGGAUAACAUUUUGAACCGCAUGGUUCGAAAUUGAAAGGCGGCUUCGGCUGUCACUUAUGGAUGGACCCGCGUCGCAUUAGCUAGUUGGUGAGAUAACGGCACACCAAGGCAACGAUGCGUAGCCGACCUGAGGGGGUGGUCGGCCACACUGGGACUGAUACACGGCCCGGACUCCUACGGGAGGCAGCAGUAGGGAAUCUUCCGCAAUGGACGAAAGUCUGACGGAGCAACGCCGCGUGAGUGAUGAAGGCUUUCGGGUCGUAAAACUCUGUUGUUAGGGAAGAACAAGUGCUAGUUGAAUAAGCUGGCACCUUGACGGUACCUAACCAGAAAGCCACGGCUAACUACGUGCCAGCCGCCGCAGUAA
rnacentral:rRNA from 1 species